UUCAAGUAAUCCAGGAUAGGCUGUGGGUACUGUAGUCAGCCUGUUCUCGAUUACUUGGCCU
rnacentral:pre_miRNA from 1 species